rnacentral:rRNA from 1 species
GUGCCAGCAGCCGCGGUAAUACGUAGGUGGCAAGCGUUAUCCGGAAUUAUUGGGCGUAAAGCGCGCGUAGGCGGUUUUUUAAGUCUGAUGUGAAAGCCCACGGCUCGACCGUGGAGGGUCAUUGGAAACUGGAAAACUUGAGUGCAGAAGAGGAAAGUGGAAUUCCAUGUGUAGCGGUGAAAUGCGCAGAGAUAUGGAGGAACACCAGUGGCGAAGGCGACUUUCUGGUCUGUAACUGACGCUGAUGUGCGAAAGCGUGGGGAUCAAACAGGAUUAGAU